UACAGAGGGGGCAAGCGUUGUUCGGAAUUACUGGGCGUAAAGGGCGCGUAGGCGGCCGCCUAAGUCAGACGUGAAAUCCCUCGGCUCAACCGGGGAACUGCGUCUGAUACUGGGUGGCUUGAAUCCGGGAGAGGGAUGCGGAAUUCCAGGUGUAGCGGUGAAAUGCGUAGAUAUCUGGAGGAACACCGGUGGCGAAGGCGGCAUCCUGGACCGACACUGACACUGAGGAGCGAAAGCCAGGGGAGCAAACGGG
rnacentral:rRNA from 1 species